CACGCGCAGCUCGUGCCUCUUCCCUUCCAGCUCCGCCAGCAGACGCCACACGCCGUCCCGAUCUCCGGCAAGGGUACCAACGGAACCGCCACAGACCCGCCGUCCUUCCCCGACCUGUCGCCGACCUUGGGCCGCUCGGAACUGGCCGGAAACUGGAGAUUUCCGCUGGUUUUCAGUCGAAACUUCAUCUUCUUCGUUCUGCUCCGUUUCUCAACCAAAUCGUUAGAGUAAGGCUAUAGUAGUGCGCAGGCAUCCACCACCGGGCCACUCCUAGCUUCCGCACCACCAAGAAACGUAGAAUUUUAUUGUAAAAGUUCUUGAAAUCUUGUAAAUUAGUUGAAAAUGCUCUGAUAUCUCGUUUUAGUGGGAAACUUGAUAUGGUGAAUGCUGGGUUAUUUUAUUCUGGCAGUUGGUGGAAAAUUAUUUGCUUGUUUAACAGGUGGAAGAUUUUGGGUUUAGACAAAAUACAGGGAAGACUUUGCCGAAUUUUCGGUAGGAGUCUAAGGGAAGUUUUAAUAGUAAUUGUAAUAGGAAGGGUAAAACGGUCAUUUGUGUCCGACAUUCGCCAGGUGUCGGACACGCACAGGACUUGGUUCGAAUUCCAAAGUGGAAUUGGGAUCGGGUCCUGUCAUGGCCAACUGUAGAACCAAGGGUGGAGAACCUAUUAGCGACUGACAAUGGUGUGGCAACUGCAAUGGGGGUGCAACCAGGAAAAGGGACUAUUUGCUUGGGUAUUUCUGGCUUUUCUGGCUUAUUUUGACUCAUGGAUUGAGGAAGGAUUCGGAUCGACUGGGAUGACUUGGGCGACUGCGAAGACUUGGGUUGACUGGCUGAUUCUUUCUGUUUGUCUUUUUUGGGUGCCAUUGUGCAUCCUGCAAGAAUUCUCGAGUAAGAAAAUGAGGAAUUGAAUUCUCACUACCUCUCAAAUAUUCAAAUCGAAAUCAAAUAUACUUAAAAUACUUUGCCAUCGUGCAAAAAUUUGUUUAGAUGUAAUGUUUUGAACAUCUUUUUCUAAAACAUGUUUUGCAGACUUACAAUCAA